ensembl:snoRNA
UUCCAAAGUGUUGAGUUCAGUUCAGGGCUGAUUCCCUGUUCUGUUAAUUAAACUUUGGGACAUUGAAACAGAGGCUAGUGAAGAUGACUGGAUAGAAAACAUUAUUCUAUUCAUUUACUUCUCAUCCUACAGUA